rnacentral:rRNA from 1 species
CGCGCUGGACCGUGCACAAGUCUCCUGGAAUGGAGCGUCAUAGAGGGUGAGAAUCCCGUCUUUGGCAUGGAAUCCCAGGGCUUCUGUGAUGCGCUCUCGACGAGUCGAGUUGUUUGGGAAUGCAGCUCAAAAUGGGCGGUGAACUCCAUCUAAAGCUAAAUAUUGGCGAGAGACCGAUAGCGAACAAGUACCGUGAGGGAAAGAUGAAAAGCACUUUGGAAAGAGAGUGAAACAGUACGUGAAAUUGUUGAAAGGGAAACGCUUGAAGUCAGUCGCGUCGACCGAGACUCAGCCUUGCCUCGGCUUGGUGUACUUCUCGGCUGACGGGUCA